rnacentral:lncRNA from 1 species
AUAGGCUUUUUUUUUUUUUUGAGGAAAAAGAAGAAAGAGAAAGAGACAAAGGAAAAGGAGAAAGACAAGAGAGGAAGAAGCAGGAGGAAAACAGUGGAGAGAAGAAGAAAAAAGAGAAAAAAUAAAUUACAGCUAUCUGGGCUUCCAUGGGAGUGCCAACUCUGACAGCUGAGACAUCUCUGACUUGGCUCUUUCACCUCUUGUGCAAGGGAAGAACAGCACUAUUUUUAAAGGAGGUCAUUAGUUUUGGAAAUCACUAGUGGGUAAAAAAGACCAAUUUGCAACUAGGCUCUCAUGCUCUGUUGAAAACUAUGUCACAAUAUCACAAUACUAGAUGCUGGGCUCAAGACAGCAAACAGAAAGCAGCAAGGGCAGUGACUGGAAGCUGGGAGAGAGGGUCAACAGCUGAAUCUCAGCCUGAUGGAGGCCACCAUUUAAUAAGUAAAUACAUGCACGGCUAUUUAGAUCCUGCAUCAGACAGGUCAUCAGAAAACAUGAAGCUAAAUGCAGUAAAGAAUUACUCUCUUGAACUCUUGAAAAUAUCAAAAACAUGAAGCUAAAUGCAGUAAAGAAUUAGUCUCUUGAACUCUUGAAAAUAUCAUUUUCUUAUAGAAAUGGUUUAAAAAUUUCUUUUUUAUUAUUUCUAAUUUUCCUUCAGAAAAUUGUGAGUUUUAACCUACAACACAUACACUCCAAGGUAAUGCCACUCUAAUGCUGUCUAGUUGAUCUGAAUAACUAACUGGUCAAUUAUCAGAUCCACCAAACUGUCUCUCUGGAGAUUAACUUCUGCCAGCAUAUUG